rnacentral:tRNA from 1 species
GGGGAUGUAGCUCACAGGUGGAGCACUUCACUGGUGUGCUCAAAGUCCUGGGUUCAAUACCCAGCAUAACCA